UACGGAAGGGGCGAGCGUUGUUCGGAAUCAUUGGGCGUAAAGGGCGCGUAGGUGGUGCUGUAUGUCUCCCGUGAAAGUCCACGGCUCAACUGUGGGGCGUCGGGAGAAACUGCAGGACUUGAGGCUGGGAGGGGCUGGUGGAAUUCCCUGUGUAGCGGUGAAAUGCGUAGAGAUGGGGGAGAACACUCGUGGCGAAGGCGGCCAGCUAGACCAGUUCUGACACUGAGGCGCGACAGCGUGGGGAGCAAACAGGAUUAGAAACCCCCGUAGUCC
rnacentral:rRNA from 1 species